rnacentral:rRNA from 1 species
GACGAACGCUGGCGGCGUGCCUAAUACAUGCAAGUCGAGCGGACUGAAUGGGAGCUUGCUCUUGUUCGGUCAGCGGCGGACGGGUGGGUAACACGUGGGCAACCUGCCCGCAAGACCGGGAUAACUCCGGGAAACCGGAGCUAAUACCGGAUAACACCGAAGACCGCAUGGUCUUUGGUUGAAAGGCGGCGCAAGCUGCCACUUGCGGAUGGGCCCGCGGCGCAUUAGCUAGUUGGUGAGGUAACGGCUCACCAAGGCGACGAUGCGUAGCCGGCCUGAGAGGGUGACCGGCCACACUGGGACUGAGACACGGCCCAGACUCCUACGGGAGGCAGCAGUAGGGAAUCUUCCGCAAUGGGCGAAAGCCUGACGGAGCGACGCCGCGUGAGCGAAGAAGGCCUUCGGGUCGUAAAGCUCUGUUGUGAGGGACGAAGGAGCGCCGUUUGAAGAAGGCGGCGCGGUGACGGUACCUCACGAGGAAGCCCCGGCUAACUACGUG